GGGAGUGGUUGAGUCCCGGUGGGCUCCGCGGUCUUCAAAACCGUUGUGGCGGCGUGAGAGCGUCGCUGUGUGGGUUCGACUCCCAUCCACUCCCGCCA
rnacentral:tRNA from 1 species